rnacentral:rRNA from 1 species
UUUCCGGUUGAUCCCGCCGGACCUGACUGCUAUCGGAUUGAUACUAAGCCAUGUGAGUCAUUGUAGCAAUACAAGGCAGACGGCUCAGUAACACGUAGUCAAUCUACCCUAUGGACGGGGAUAACCUCGGGAAACUGAGGAUAACACCCGAUAGAUCAUAAUUCCUGGAAUGGUUUAUGGUCCAAAUGAUUCGUCGCCAUAGGAUGGGACUGCGGCCUAUCAGCUUGUUGGUGAGGUAAUGGCCCACCAAGGCUAUUACAGGUACGGGCUCUGAGAGGAGAAGCCCGGAGAUGGGUACUGAGACACGGACCCAGGCCCUAUGGGGCGCAGCAGGCGAGAAACCUUUGCAAUGUGCGCAAGCACGACAAGGUUAAUCCGAGUGGUUCCUGCUAAAGGAAUCUUUUGUUAGUUGUAAAACCACUGACGAAUAAGGGGUGGGCAAGUUCUGGUGUCAGCCGCCGCGGUAAAACCAGCACCUCAAGUGGUCAGGAGGAUUAUUGGGCCUAAAGCAUCCGUAGCCUGUUCUGUAAGUUUUCGGUUAAAUCCAUUAGCUCAACUAAUGGGCCGCCGAAAAUACUGUAGAACUAGGGAGUGGGAGAGGUAGACGGUAUUCGGUAGGAAGGGGUAAAAUCCUUUGAUCUAUUGAGGACCACCUGUGGCGAAGGCGGUCUACCAGAACACGCUCGACGGUGAGGGAUGAAAGCUGGGGGAGCAAACCGGAUUAGAUACCCGGGUAGUCCCAGCUGUAAACGAUGCAGACUCGGUGAUGCCCUGGCUUGUGGCCAGUGCAGUGCCGCAGGGAAGCCGUUAAGUUUGCCGCCUGGGAAGUACGUGCGCAAGUAUGAAACUUAAAGGAAUUGGCGGGGGAGCACCACAAGGGGUGAAGCCUGCGGUUCAAUUGGAGUCAACGCCGGG